GGUUCUGUAGUGUAGUGGUUAUCACGUUCGCCUCACACGCGAAAGGUCCCUGGUUCGAAACACAGGCAGAAAACAGCCU